rnacentral:sRNA from 1 species
GUCAGGUGUAGUGGUGCACACCUGUAAUCCCAGUGGCUCAGGAGGCUGAGUCAGGAGGAUCGCAAGUUCAGGCAGUCUCAGCAAAAGCAAGGUGCUAAGCAAUUCAGUGAGACCCUGUCUCUA